rnacentral:rRNA from 1 species
GGAUUAGAUACCCGGGUAGUCCCAGCUGUAAACUAUGCAAACUCAGUGAUGCAUUGACUUGUGGUCAAUGCAGUGCUGCAGGGAAGCCGUUAAGUUUGCCGCCUGGGAAGUACGUACGCAAGUAUGAAACUUAAAGGAAUUGGCGGGGGAGCACCACAAGGGGUGAAGCCUGCGGUUUAAUUGGACUCAAC